rnacentral:rRNA from 1 species
GAUGAACGCUGGCGGCGUGCCUAAUACAUGCAAGUCGAGCGAACAGACGAGGAGCUUGCUCCUCUGACGUUAGCGGCGGACGGGUGAGUAACACGUGGAUAACCUACCUAUAAGACUGGGAUAACUUCGGGAAACCGGAGCUAAUACCGGAUAAUAUAUUGAACCGCAUGGUUCAAUAGUGAAAGACGGUUUUGCUGUCACUUAUAGAUGGAUCCGCGCCGCAUUAGCUAGUCGGUAAGGUAACGGCUUACCAAGGCAACGAUGCGUAGCCGACCUGAGAGGGUGAUCGGCCACACUGGAACUGAGACACGGUCCAGACUCCUACGGGAGGCAGCAGUAGGGAAUCUUCCGCAAUGGGCGAAAGCCUGACGGAGCAACGCCGCGUGAGUGAUGAAGGUCUUCGGAUCGUAAAACUCUGUUAUUAGGGAAGAACAAAUGUGUAAGUAACUACGCACGUCUUGACGGUACCUAAUCAGAAAGCCACGGCUAACUACGUG